UAAUUUUGUUUUGCUCUGUUCCAGACCCUGGGAUGACCUGUUUGCAGCUGGCAGAGCUCUGAGGCCCUGGGUCAGAUUUGGUGUCAUGAAGCUGCUGACUGCCAGGCCAGUUCUCCAGCUCAAGCCAUCCACUGUUUGGAAAGCAAUUCCUUUCCAAAUCAGAUGGGCACCUAAAACAACCUGCAGGAGACUGAGGGGACACCUCAGUGCACUCUACAACCUCCUCAUGAGAGGAAGAGGAGGAGCAGACACCGAUCCCCCCUCUGGGGUGACCAGUGACAGGACCCGAGGGAGCAGCUGCAGCUGGAUCAGGGGAGGGUGAGGUUGGAAAUCAAAAAAAGGCUUUUCUCCCAGAGGGUGGUUGGGCACUGGAACAGGUUCCCUGGCAGAGUUCAAAAAGCAUUUGGACACUCCUGGGCACAGGGUGGGACUCCUGGGGAUGAUCCUGUGCAGGGCCAGCAGCUGGGCUCCAUGUGUGGCCCCUUCCAAGUCAGCUUACACUGUGAUUCCGUGACUCCAAGCAGGGGUUGGAACCUUGUUUGAACUUCACCUGCAAAUCUAUUUCCUGCAGCUUCUUUCAACCCAGAAAAAGACAAAUGUUGUAUUUCUGGAAUUCUGAACCAUCAAAACUGUCAAAGAAAUUGAGCUAUAAACUGAAAAUACUGCAAAUGUAGAUUUUCAGCCUUUACAGCUCAGGCACUGAACUAGCAGUGGGUACAGGAGGAGAGGAGCUGAUGCCAACCCAGCACCUGCAGCUGUGAGCAGCUCUGUGAUGUGCUCAGCCAGAGGGAACCCUGAACAUCCCUCCUUCCAUUCCCACGACAAUAUUGGAAAACUAAGACCCUGAAGUCCCCUAGUCCAAAAACCCUGCAGUGCACUUCCAGAUGGGAAGAAGAAAGCUCAAGCACAUCACCAAUGUCCUCCACGCCUUCGAUAGCCACAAUUUUACCAGCAAAAGCUUCCCAGAAAAAGUGGGAGAGAACUGCCCCAGCAUUAGACAGGAAAGGAAAGGAAUCCUGCUACAUCCUGACAAUAUGACCUGGGAAAAAAUUCCAGCAGUUGUUUGAAACUGGAUGUUUUGAGCAGAAAACACCAAUACAGGACCCGAGACAUUCUUCAGACCACUGAGCACACUGGCACCAUCCCUACUGAUCCUGCAGCCAAGCCCGUGGUGCUUCAAGGAAAGAAAAACUCCAGAAGGUAAAUUAGGCAGCAAGGGGGGAAAUCUACUUCUCCCCAUCACCGAGCCCUUAGGCCUUGGGAAAGUCAUUAUAAAUAAAGUGCAAAGAAACCAUA